rnacentral:rRNA from 1 species
UAAUACAUGCAAUUCGUGGGGCAGCAGCUCUGUAGCAAUACAGAGGCUGGCGACCGGCAAACGGGUGCGGAACACGUACGCAACCUACCCAAAACUGGGGAAUAGCCCGGGGAAACCCGGAUUAAUACCUCGUAACAUAAUGAAGUGGCAUCACUUUAUUAUUAUAGCUCAGGCGGUUUUGGAUGGGCGUGCGCCUGAUUAGGUAGUUGGUAGGGUAACGGCCUACCAAGCCUUCGAUCAGUAACUGGUGUGAGAGCACGACCAGUCACACGGG